GACGAACGCUGGCGGCGUGCUUAACACAUGCAAGUCGAACGGAAAGGCCCUGCUUUUGUGGGGUGCUCGAGUGGCGAACGGGUGAGUAACACGUGAGUAACCUGCCCUUGACUUUGGGAUAACUUCAGGAAACUGGGGCUAAUACCGGAUAGGAGCUCCUGCUGCAUGGUGGGGGUUGGAAAGUUUCGGCGGUUGGGGAUGGACUCGCGGCUCAUCAGCUUGUUGGUGGGGUAGUGGCUUACCAGGGCUUUGACGGGUAGCCGGCCUGAGAGGGUGACCGGCCACAUUGGGACUGAGAUACGGCCCAGACUCCUACGGGAGGCAGCAGUGGGGAAUAUUGCACAAUGGGCGGAAGCCUGAUGCAGCAACGCCGCGUGCGGGAUGACGGCCUUCGGGUUGUAAACCGCUUUCGCCUGUGACGAAGCGUGAGUGACGGUAAUGGGUAAAGAAGCACCGGCUAACUACGUG
rnacentral:rRNA from 1 species